AGGGACAGUGCAACACUGCCCUCUGGCGGACAAAACGGAGCGGUGCAAUGGAGCGAGAAAAGGGGAUGAUGAGGCUGAAAGGCUGAGCCCUGACAGCCUGGGGAGUGAUGCACACCGCUGUUACCCUCUGGAGGAUGGAAAGGACCGAUAAAAGGCAAAGAUGAGGCCGAAAGGGUGAGCCCUGUCGGCCUGGGGAGUGCUGAACACCGCUGUCAGCCUCUGGAAGACCAACUUUCAAAAAAGUUUCUAAGUGUCAAAUUCGAAAAAUCUUCUAAGUGUCACUUUUCAAAAAAGUUUCUAAGUGUCACUUUCCGAAAAAUUUUCUAAGUGUCACUUUCCGAAAAAUUUUCUAAGUGUCACUUUCCAAAAAAAUUUCUAAGUGUCACUUUUCGAAAAAUUUUCUAAGUGUCACUUUUCGAAAAAUUUUCUAAGUGUCACUUUCGAAAAAAGUUUCUAAGUGCCACUGGAGGUCGAGAAGGACCGAGGAAAGGCAAAGAUAAGGCCGAAAGGGUGAACCCUCUCGGCCUGGAGACAGCUGGAGACCGCUGUCACCCUCUGGAAGUCGAGAAGGACCGAGGAAAGGCACAGAUGAGGCCGAAAUGGUGCUCCCUGUCGGCCUGGGGAGUGCUGAACACCGCUGUCAGCCUCUGGAGGAUGAAAA